UCAAGACCAGUCCUGCUGCCUCUUCUGAGGACAAUGAAGGAGUUAUGAGAUUCAUUUAUGGAGCUACACUCCCCUUUCAAAGCUCAUCUACAGUGUGGAAUAAUGGAAAGAAGCCUGGAUUCAGAGAACACCGGCUCCUUCACUCAAUUGCUGUAUGAUCAUGGAACCUGGUUGAAAUCUGGUAUGAAGAUUCAGGCCUCCAGAUGAGGACCUCCUUGCCUUGCUUCAAGUCCAAUGAGGGCAUACAGUCCCUGCCGGAUAACAAGCUUGUGUUAGCAGAUGAGUCUGCUAACUCUGAGUCCCAGAUCUCCUGAGACUUAACACUGCCCACAUCAACGGGACAGAUGUGUACACUUUUGAGCAGCUAUCAAAUUCCUGGAGAUGACUUCCCAUGUGAAUUAAAAGCAGUUUGAUUAACAGUCAAGCCACCUGUGGGGAGUGUAGCAGAAAGUGCCGCCACCCCACCCUAAAUGGGUAAAGACAUUGAUGCUGCAAAUCGGGGGCGCCCGCACACACCCCAGGUGUGGCAAUAUUAGGAGGCAACAGUCCUGUCCAAUGAUCCACGUGACUGUUGAGUUGGUUUGUCUGAACCAAGAAAGUGUCUUUAGCAAGUAUGGACACCUCCUUGAAAAAUAAAGAUCUCAGCCACAAAAGCUGAGAACAAUCUUG